UUCAUUUUUCCCCAAUGUUAUUGGUCCACCAAACCCAAAUUGGUGCGGAUUGAGGACAAAAACGGAGCUGGAGGGGGAUCGAAUUUGAAAAUUCCAAAAUAUCUUAUUUUUCGAAUUUCAAAAAUCACCCCCAAUUGGUUUUCUAUAUAAAGGCCCUUGGGGUCACUAUUUCGGGGAUAUUCUUUCUUUUGGUAACUAUUCCUAGGCUUUAGGGUUGAGAAAAUUAGGGGAGAAGAUUGGAGGUUUGAAGAAGAAGAAAUCUUUAGGUUGGUUUGAAAAGCUAGCUCGAAAGUUGGGGUAUGGGAAUUCUGAAAAUAAGAGUUUGUUUUUUCUGCUAAAAUUUUCUUGUCCAUUUUUCUGGGAAGCUAGUCGAUCAAUUAGAGAGUUUCCGAAUCGACAAUACGAGCUCCCAGUAGGGACGAUUUUGCUGAUAGCUCGAGUCCCGUUUUGCCGCUCCCUAAAAGCCCCCUUGGAGCCUAAAUGGACUUCUUCACUCUUUGCAUUUCAUAAAUGGGCCAAUGAGGCCUAUCCUUCCGAGUCAAGCCCGAAUGAAAGCCCAAAGUUGAGCAUGUGGCAUAUGGAUACGAGAAGUCGAAAGAGGAAUAAUGGAUUAAAAUCCCAUCUUUGAAGCGGCCAAGGGAUUAGAACGUUUCUUUUCUGUUAUUUGUUUAUUUAUUUUGUCGUCUUUUAUUUAUUUGUUUAUUUAUUUAUUCCUUUAUUCA